UACGUAGGGUGCGAGCGUUGUCCGGAAUUAUUGGGUGUAAAGGGCUCGUAGGCGGUUUGUCGCGUCGGGAGUGAAAACCUUGGGCUUAACUCAGGGCUUGCUUUCGAUACGGGCAGACUAGAGGUAUGCAGGGGAGAACGGAAUUCCUGGUGUAGCGGUGAAAUGCGCAGAUAUCAGGAGGAACACCGGUGGCGAAGGCGGAUCUCUGGGCCUUACCUGACGCUCAGGCGCGAAAGCUAGGGGAGCGAACUGG
rnacentral:rRNA from 1 species